CUACGGGCUGCAGCAGUGAGGAAUAUUGCACAAUGGGGGGAACCCUGAUGCAGCAACGCCGCGUGGAGGAUGACGCAUUUCGGUGUGUAAACUCCUUUUAUAUGUCAAGAAAAUGACGGUAGCAUAUGAAUAAGCACCGGCUAACUCCGUGCCAGCAGCCGCGGUAAUACGGAGGGUGCAAGCGUUACUCGGAAUCACUGGGCGUAAAGGACGCGUAGGCGGGCUUGUAAGUCAGGUGUGAAAUCCUACAGCUUAACUGUAGAACUGCACUUGAAACUUCUAAUCUAGAGUAUGGGAGGGGGAGAUGGAAUUAGUGGUGUAGGGGCAAAAUCCGUAGAUAUCACUAGGAAUACCUAAAGCGAAGGCGAUCUCCUGGAACAUUACUGACGCUAAGGCGUGAAAGCGUGGGGAGCAAACAGGAUUAGAUACCCCAGUAGUC
rnacentral:rRNA from 1 species